GAAUGAUGAUGAUCAUUCCAUCGAAUGUUUCAUGUUAUGGCAGACUUCAUCUAGUUUGCUGGGUGUUUUAUCGUUUGGUGUGGUGAUUAUACCGUACUCUACUAUUUCUUUAUGCCAUUUUACUAUUUAUUACAGAAUACUUGUAUAAGGAUCAUUGCUACCAUGUAUUUUCUACUAUACCUUCCGUUACAAGUAAUAUAUGGAUACUCGUUUGGUUCUUUAUUUUAAGCUGCUUAAUUUGGCACAAACCAUCAAUCUGAAGGCAAAUUGAACGUACUAAUUAAUGUCAACAUAGAUGACUUUUCCUUAGUCAAAUCGAAGAUAAUUCGAGCCUUAAUUAAAUAAUUAAGCUGAUAUCUAAUUAUAAUUCGAGUGAAAGCUCUGUAGAAGAGUUGAUGAAUAGAAGCACUCUUCCUAUAAUGAGAUCUUAGAUUUUAAAUUGGAAGAAAAGAGAAAAAUGUCACCAAAUGUGUGAUUUGAGAUUUUGAAUAAUGGAAAGAAAAAAAUCAAAGCAAUUCCUAGAAUCGUGAUGUGAGAUUUCUAACUCACAAAACUACAAUAUCACAAAGGCUUUCACAUCAUCUUUGUCGAAUCCAGGGGCCCCAGCUCCCUUGAUGGCAUGCCUGAUUUUCAGUUUGGAACUACACCAGAUGGUCUCCCUCUGAUUGAUAAGAGGCCAUGUUUCUUGCUUUCAUCCAGCAUGCAUGUCUGCAUAUUCCUAGUUAUUUUUUUGUUUCUCCUUCAAGCAUUGAGAACAAACCCCUGUUCCUAGGAUUCUUUUUUAUUUAUUUAUUUAUUUUUGAGCAUUUUUGUUUCAUUCUGAGCAUGAACUUCAUAGAUCUGACGUCCUAUUCUUGCUUGCUCUAACCAGUUCUCUCUUUCAUUUGUCCUUUUUCUGUUCAUUUGUUUUUGCUCGUAUCUUUCAUAAAAUAGCUGACGUUGGCCAACUUGAUGUUUUUGAAAUUCAUGGCUAUCAUCUGAGAAAUAAAACUCCAGUUUUGGGCCUCAAUGCCACAACAAAUUUCGUCUUAAUAAAUAAUGAAUUCAGGACUGCUGCUAACCAGUGGGUAGAGAAGAAUAUAGUUUGAUGAGAGGUGGUCUAAAUAAUCGAACCAUAAUUACGCGAAGUGAUUUCUUCCUGAUGUUGUUUCCUACAGGAAUCAGUCAAUUGUUCAUUCGUAAACCUCCUCAGUUACCCUUGGGUAGAAGAAAAAGUGAGGAGUGGAGAACUCAAUAUUCAUGGUGGCUAUUACAACUUCGUUGACUGUUCAUUUGAGAAAUGGACACUGUACAAGGAAAACAAUAUGAAGGACAGAAGUGGGAAAGUUGCAGUAAAAGACAGAGCAUUGGUUCUGAAACUGUGCUGCUGAUUUAUCUUUAUAAUUUGUUGUUGCUGUUGUUGUCAUCGUUGUCGUCAAGUCUUCUUGUAUUUUGUGCUUUGUUUAUACAUGCAUGCAUGUGAAGACAGUCAGAAAAAUAACGUUAUUCCCUCGAACUCCUGGGAUUAACUACCAAGUAAUAUAAGUGCUGUUGUAAUUAUAGUCACAUUUGAUGUCAUAAUCUGUAAUAUGUUGUAUGACACUGCAUUUCAUAGUUGAUAAAGCAGAUUGUUUAUUAAUUUGGCAUAAGAGCUUUCAAGUUCCAGAUUCUGAUGGAUGAUAUUUAUGUUUUCUGCACGUCUGAUGGCAUGGAUAAUAAGUAAGAGAUGGUUAAGCUGAUUAGUUUGACUUUUAGUUCAUCCCUGUGGAUGUAAACUUACUGUCAAAGUUACUCGUUUCUCGAAAGCAAUAUGCAGAGUAGACUUCUGCAGAGGUACAUCUAGCAGUAGUCUGCCGGGAUUCGGAUGGACUCCGAGAUGAAGUUACAUGGAGCUUACCAUGUUUCACUAGCCACACAUGUGAGUAAAUUUUCGAGUCCAAAUCAUGAAGCAAUUGUGAUAAUAGAACAUGCAGAAGACAUGCAUUUAAUGCAUGAUAUGGUUACAAUGAACACAUAAAUUUGGCAAAAUCCCAAAUAACCCAUCCUAAAAACGGCCCUUGAUUUCAAUUCCCAUGAAUGAUUGAUGAAUUUGGUUUGAUGAGCCCCCUAAUGCAGAUGCAUAGUUGUUAAAUAAAGUGACUUCAUUUUAAUAAAAAUAAUUAACCUGAGUUAACUCGGUGAUUUAUGAAUUGUCCCGGUAACCCGAACCCUUUUUUUGAAUCAAUCUCUAGCAGGUUCUGGGGUAAAAUGGAAAUGCCAGCUCUUUCCUAUAUAUUUUUUUUUUAUAUAUAUUUCUUCCAAAAGGUGUCUUUGGAACCUGAUUAUGUUGUUGAAGUGUAAGUAAGCAUAUAACUGGUGAGAAGUUGAACUGCCAACAUACAAAAUGUCCUGCCAACUCGCCCUCCAAAACCUCCAUAUUCUCCACCUCCCACAUCUAUAAAAACCCAAUGGUUUUCUCACGGAAAAGCACACUUCACACCACUUGUGAUUUGCUAAAGCCUAAAACUCUCCCUUCCCUUGAAGCCAUUGCCAUUGCCAUCGCCACAACCAUGGCCAAUCAUAUCUUCCCACUCUUCAUUUCACCACUUAUAGUGAUCACGAGCAUGUCAUUGCUAAUCAGCCAGACAAUUCCGGUGGAGGCACGCCAACUCUUGGAGGUAACAGUGCCUGAGCUUCCGAAGCCUGCCGUUCCCGAGCUUCCCAAGCCGGAGUUGCCUAAGCUGCCCGAAUUCCCAGUACCUGAACUGCCAAAAUUUGAAAUACCAAAACUGCCUGAGCUUCCGAAGCCUGAAUUUCCCGAGCUUCCCAAGCCGGAGUUGCCUAAGCUUCCCGAACUGCCAAAAUUUGAAAUACCAAAACUGCCUGAAUUUCCACCUUUUCCCCAUUUUCCUGAUCUAACUAAGCCCACACUGCCAAGUACUAUUCCCUCCCACUCAACUACUAGCCCUUGAAUGAUGAUGAUCAUACCAUCUAAUGUUUCAUGUUAUGGCAGUCUUCAUCUAGUUUGCUGGGUCUAUUAUCGUUUGGUGUGGUGAUUAUACCGUACUCUACUGUUUCUUAAUGCCAUUUUUACUAUUUAUUACAGAAUACCUGUAUAAGGGUCAUUAAUACUACCAUGUAUUUUCUACUAUACCUUCCGUUACAAGUAAUAUAUAUGGAUACUCGUUUGGUUCUUUAUUUUAAGCUGCU
rnacentral:lncRNA from 1 species